UACGAAGGGGGCUAGCGUUGUUCGGAAUUACUGGGCGUAAAGCGCACGUAGGCGGAUUUGUAAGUCGGGUGUGAAAUCCCCAGGCUUAACCUGGGAACUGCAUUCGAGACUGCAUUGCUAGAGUAUGGGAGAGGGAAGUGGAAUUUCCGGUGUAGCGGUGAAAUGCGUAGAUAUCGGAAGGAACAUCAGUGGCGAAAGCGACUUCCUGGACCAAUACUGACGCUCAUGUGCGAAAGCGUGGGGAGCAAACAGG
rnacentral:rRNA from 1 species